rnacentral:rRNA from 1 species
UACGUAGGCAGCGAGCGUUGUUCGGAGUUACUGGGCGUAAAGGGUGCGUAGGCGGUUGUUUAAGUUUGGAGUGACAGUUGGUGGCUUAACUGCCAAAGUGCUUCGAAAACUGACAGACUUGAGGGCUUCAGAGGGGCACGGAAUUCCGGGUGGAGUGGUGAAAUGCGUAGAGAUCCGGAGGAACACCAAAGGCGAAGGCAGUGUCCUGGGGAGUACCUGACGCUCAGGUGCGAAAGCCAGGGGAGCGAACGGG